rnacentral:rRNA from 1 species
CGCGUAGGCGGGCAAGCAAGUCCGGGGUGAAAGCCCCCAGCUCAACUGGGGAAGUGCCUUGGAAACUGCUUGUCUAGAGGGAGGUAGGGGCAUGUGGAACUUCGGGUGGAGCGGCGAAAUGCGUUGAUAUCCGAAGGAACGCCGGUGGCGAAAGCGACGUGCUGGAUCUCUUCUGACGCUGAGGCGCGAAAGCUAGGGUAGCGAACGGGAUUAGAUACCCCGGUAGUCCUAGCCCUAAACGAUGGGUACUAGAUUGCGGACUUAACAUGGGUUCGCAGUCGAAGCAAAAAGUGGUAAAGUACCCCGCCUGGGGAGUAGUGGUCGCAAGGCUGAA